rnacentral:rRNA from 1 species
GCCUACGGGAGGCAGCAGUGAGGAAUAUUGGUCAAUGGGCGAGAGCCUGAACCAGCCAAGUCGCGUGAAGGAUGACGGCCCUACGGGUUGUAAACUUCUUUUGUCAGGGAGCAAUUGGGUCCACGUGUGGGCUUAGCGAGAGUACCUGAAGAAAAAGCAUCGGCUAACUCCGUGCCAGCAGCCGCGGUAAUACGGAGGAUGCGAGCGUUAUCCGGAUUUAUUGGGUUUAAAGGGUGCGUAGGCUGAAUAUCAAGUCAGCGGUAAAAAUUCGGGUCUCAACCCCGUCGUGCCGUU